UACGGAGGGUGCGAGCGUUGUCCGGAAUCACUGGGCGUAAAGGGCGCGUAGGCGGCCUGAUAAGUAGGGGGUGAAAUCCUGCGGCUUAACCGCAGGGCUGCCUUCUAAACUGUCAGGCUCGAGCACAGUAGAGGCAGGUGGAAUUCCCGGUGUAGCGGUGGAAUGCGCAGAUAUCAGGAGGAACACCGAUUGCGAAGGCAGCUCGCUGGAACGUUACUGACGCUGAGACGCGAAAGCGUGGGGAGCAAACAGG
rnacentral:rRNA from 1 species